rnacentral:rRNA from 1 species
GACGAACGCUGGCGGCGUGCCUAACGCAUGCAAGUCGAGCGAGGUGUUCCCGCGAGGGGGCAUCGAGCGGCGAACGGGUGAGUAACACGUGGGUAAUCUGCCUAUGAGACGGGGAUAGCCCCGGGAAACUGGGGUUAAUACCGGAUGUGAUCCUUCAAGCGCAUGCUUGAAGGAGGAAAGGGUGCAAACCGCUCAUAGAUGAGCCCGCGGCCCAUUAGCUAGUUGGCAGGGUAAGAGCCUACCAAGGCGACGAUGGGUAGCCGGUCUGAGAGGAUGGCCGGCCACACUGGGACUGAGACACGGCCCAGACUCCUACGGGUGGCAG